GACCCUAUAGAGUUUAAUAUUUAAUUAAUAAAUUAUUUUUUAGAAUUUAAUAUUAAUUUAUUAAUUAAUUAUUUGAUUGGGGUGAUUGAAAAAUUUAAGUAACUUUUUUUAUAUUAAAACAUUAAUUUAUGAUUGUUUGAUCCAUUAUUUAUGAUUAUAAGAUUAAAUUACCUUAGGGAUAACAGCGUAAUUUUUUUUAAGAGUUCAAAUCGAAAAAAAAGAUUGCGACCUCGAUGUUGGAUUAAAAUUUAUUUUUGGUGUAGAAGCUAAAUUUUAUUUGGGUCUGUUCGACCUUUUAAAAUUUUACAUGAUCUGA
rnacentral:rRNA from 1 species